rnacentral:rRNA from 1 species
CACUCCUGCGGGAGGCAGCAGUGGGGAAUAUUGCACAAUGGGCGCAAGCCUGAUGCAGCCAUGCCGCGUGUGUGAAGAAGGCCUUCGGGUUGUAAAGCACUUUCAGCGGGGAGGAAGGCAAUGCGGUUAAUAACCGUGUUGAUUGACGUUACCCGCAGAAGAAGCACCGGCUAACUCCGUGCCAGCAGCCGCGGUAAUACGGAGGGUGCAAGCGUUAAUCGGAAUUACUGGGCGUAAAGCGCACGCAGGCGGUCUGUCAAGUCGGAUGUGAAAUCCCCGGGCUCAACCUGGGAACUGCAUUCGAAACUGGCAGGCUUGAGUCUUGUAGAGGGGGGUAGAAUUCCAGGUGUAGCGGUGAAAUGCGUAGAGAUCUGGAGGAAUACCGGUGGCGAAGGCGGCCCCCUGGACAAAGACUGACGCUCAGGUGCGAAAGCGUGGGGAGCAAACAGGAUUAGAAACCCCAGUAGUCCCA